rnacentral:rRNA from 1 species
AUCGACGUUGGCGGCGUGCAUUAGGCAUGCAAGUCGAGCGAGAAUGUAGCAAUACACGGAAAGCGGCGAAAGGGAGAGUAAUGCGUAGGUACCUACCCCUGGGACCGGGAUAGCGGCGGGAAACUGCCAUUAAUACCGGAUAACGUCCCCGGACCAAAGGUGUGAUUCCUCCUGGGGAGGGGCCUGCGUCCUAUCAGCUAGUUGGCAGGGUAAUGGCCUACCAAGGCUUUGACGGGUAGCGGGUGUGAGAGCACGACCCGCCUCACUGGGACUGAGACACUGCCCAGACACCUACGGGUGGCUGCAGUCGAGAAUCUUCCGCAAUGGGCGAAAGCCUGACGGAGCGACGCCGCGUGCGGGAUGAAGCCUUCGGGUUGUAAACCGCUUUCAGUGGGGAGGAAAUGCACGGGGGUUCUCCCUCGUGUUUGACCGAUCCGCAGGAAGAAGCACAGGCUAAGUUCGUG